AACGAACGCUGGCGGCAGGCCUAACACAUGCAAGUCGAGCGCGCCCUUCGGGGUGAGCGGCGGACGGGUGAGUAACGCGUGGGAACGUGCCCUUUUCUACGGAAUAGCCUCGGGAAACUGAGAGUAAUACCGUAUACGCCCUUUGGGGGAAUGAUUUAUCGGAAAAGGAUCGGCCCGCGUUGGAUUAGGUAGUUGGUGGGGUAAUGGCCUACCAAGCCGACGAUCCAUAGCUGGUUUGAGAGGAUGAUCAGCCACACUGGGACUGAGACACGGCCCAGACUCCUACGGGAAGCAGCAGUGGGGAAUCUUAGACAAUGGGGGCAACCCUGAUCUAGCCAUGCCGCGUGAGUGAUGAAGGCCUUAGGGUUGUAAAGCUCUUUCAGCUGGGAAGAUAAUGACGGUACCAGCAGAAGAAGCCCCGGCUAACUCCGUG
rnacentral:rRNA from 1 species